rnacentral:rRNA from 1 species
CCUACGGGGGCAGCAGUGAGGAAUUUUCCGCAAUGGGCGAAAGCCUGACGGAGCAAUACCGCGUGAGGGAUGAAGGAUUUUGGUCUGUAAACCUCUUUUCUCAAGAAAGAAGUUCUGACGGUACUUGAGGAAUAAGCAUCGGCUAACUCCGUGCCAGCAGCCGCGGUAAUACGGGGGAUGCAAGCGUUAUCCGGAAUGAUUGGGCGUAAAGCGCCUGUAGGUUGUUUAUUAAGUCCGUUGUUAAAGCCUAGGGCUUAACCCUAGAAAAGCAAUGGAAACUAGUAGACUAGAGUAUGGCAGGGGUAGAGGGAAUUUCUAGUGUAGCGGUGAAAUGCGUAGAUAUUAGAAAGAACACCGGUGGCGAAAGCGCUCUACUGGACCAUUACUGACACUCAGAGGCGAAAGCUAGGGUAGCAAAAGGGAUUAGAUACCCCUGUAGUCCUAGCCGUAAACGAUGGAUACUAGAUGUUGUGCAUUAUGUACAGUAUCGUAGCUAACGCGUUAAGUAUCCCGCCUGGGGAGUACGCUCGCAAGGGUGAAACUUAAAUGAAUUGACGG